GACCUUUCAAAUAUCACAAGAUCAAGGUCAUAUUACACUUUGAAGGUCAAGGUAAAAUUUCAUCAUGACCUGACAUUGACCUCAAAUUGAAGGUCUGAAAAUACUGAUCAUUUUUCCAAUUUAUAGUAGGUUGAUAUCUGUUACCUUUAAAAAGAUAUACACACAAUACUAUACUUUUAAGAAUUAUCUCGUCGUAACUUUUAAACAGACGGUCGGACAGUUUUAAGCUUAAUGUAUAAAAUGUAGAGCUCGUCGAGAGGAACAUAUUAUACACAGUAUGUAUGCAGCAAACUUUUAUCGUUUUCUUAAUAUGUAAGCUUGAAAUUGCAGCGUAAAUUUUUUUGAACUCAGUGACCUUUGACCUUGGGUGCAAAUUAAAGGUCACAUGAAUUAAAGAUUAUUGGUGAAGGUCCCAAGUCUCUACUACUUCCGGUUCUCGAAGUAGAAUUCUCAAAAAUUGUGUAUAAUUUUUCAAGAGAAAUAACUCCUUAUAAGGGUUAAUAACAAAAUAAUUGUUUAUGUUUAUUAACAUUGCCAUCUGUUCUUGUACAUGCUGCCAUUUUCAAAUUGAUUCUAUCUGUAAUACUUUUUUAGAAAAAUGCAAAUAAAAGAAAUUCCUUUAAGGGGAUAUAACUCUCAAAGGGGAUGAUGAAAUCUUACGCAGCCUCAUAUGGUAAUACAUCAUGGUAAGAUCUACCUAUUGUCCACAUAAAGUCAUGAUAUCUUAAAAAAUAACGACGAGGGGCUAUGUCGAAAAAAACCAAUAAAAGGGAGAUAACUUCUAAAGGGGAUGAUGAAAUCCUUAACAGGGUCAUCUGGUAAUACUUCAUGAUGAGGUCUAUCGAUGGUCCAUAUUUGGUCUUGAUAACUCUAAUAGAAACGAGGGGAGGGCAUGUCAAAAAAAUGUUGGAAGAAAAAAAAGAAAAAAAAAACUAGUAUCUCAAUUGUUUGAAAAACAAUUGAAAGGUCUUUCCUGUAAAAGUGAUGUUUUUGUAAUGUACUCUUUAAGACCUUUCAUUUGAUAUACGACAAGCAUACCUUCUAAAAAUUUUCACUUUUUACACUUAAUGACCCCAUCCGCCUACAUUUUUGAUAUCGGAAGUAUGAUAUAUGUAAUCUAGACUUGAUUAUCUUUCAUUUGAUAUGCGACAACGCCAUGUUCUAGAAAGUUUGAUUUCUGCACUUAAUAACCUCAUCCAACUUAUUUUUUGAGGACAGGAAUCUGAUAUUUGAAAUGUACACGUUACGACCUUUCAUUUAAAAUACAACAACCUUACCUUAAAAGAAAAUUAUAUUUUUUGCACUCAAUGACCCCACCCAACCCAUUUUUUGGGGACGUCAUUUUGAUAUUUGAAAUGUACGCUUUAUGGACUUUCAUUUGAUAUGCGACAACCUAACCAUCUGAGAAGUUUUAAUUUUUUGCACUAAAUGACCCCACCCUUCCCCCUGGGAUGAAAAGGGGGUUUUACAUUUUCAUUUUUGAGUAGAGCUAGUUAAGACCUUCAAUUUGAUAUAUCAAAUGACCCGAUUUGGCAAAGUGCCAAAAAUGAUGCAAUAUUAAUUAUAUAAAUAGAACUUAUGAAACUUACAAAGUCAAUGCAAAACAUGAAAAUUUCAAAUUGAUUUUUUGGUUUUUUUUUUCAUUGAAUGUUUUUGGUAUUUAGUCAAACAUAUAACCAUGUUAAACUCUUCAAUUUCUUAUAAUUUCAGGUGGUUACCUGUUGUUGAUUCAGAAAUACAUGCCUCCGCUCGCAAAAUUUCAAAGUGCAUUAUCUCUUAAACGACAACAUGUAUCUCAAAUUUGUUAAAAGAAAAAUGAUCUACAGUAAAAGGACAACAUUUUAGAAAAAAAAUUGGACAAUUCCAAAGUUCAUCAAGGUCACAAUGAAUUAUCAAAUAUAUGAUGCAAUAUCAAACUUGAGAACCGUAAGUCGUAGAGACAUGGGACUACCACCAUUCAACUCAAGACCACU